rnacentral:rRNA from 1 species
UAAGGAAUAUUGCUCAAUGGGAGAAAUCCUGAAGCAGCAACGCCGCGUGGAGGAUGAAGGGUCUAUGACUUGUAAACUCCUGUAAAGAAGGAAAAAAUUCCCAUUAGAUGGGAGAUGAUGGUACUUCUGGAGUAAGCCCCGGCUAACUACGUGCCAGCAGCCGCGGUAAUACGUAGGGGGCAAGCGUUGUCCGGAUUUACUGGGUGUAAAGGGUGCUCAGGCGGAUUAGUAAGUCAGAGGUGAAAUCUUACAGCUUAACUGUGAAACUGCCUUUGAUACUGCAAGCCUAGAGUAUGGAAGAGAGUGAUGGAAUAUCUGGUGUAGCAGUGAAAUGCGUAGAUAUCAGAUAGAACACCAAUGGCGAAGGCAGUCACUUGGUCCAUUACUGACGCUAAAGCACGAAAGCGUGGGUAGCAAACA